rnacentral:lncRNA from 1 species
UGGCUUCUCUAUAUACAUACUUUAUCUACAAAGUAAUCCCAUCACAGAUCAUAAUCCGAAGCCAAUGAUUGCCGCCGAAUUGCUCUCUAAUUAGCAGUAUAGCUCUAGCAUCGAUCAUGGCCGAUUUGUAGACAUUUUAUGGGAUGGGAGGUUUUUUUUAUUUAUUUAUUUAAUAGCAUUCCAUGGACCAUGAUGGUGCGGGCUGGGUUCCAAUGUCGUUAUCAACUGCAUCAGUAGGGUUUGGAAGGUGAGAACUCGUAUGGGAGUGCGCUACUUUCGGUGGAAGAUGGCUUCGGGCAAGCUUGGUCUCGAGCUUCAGCGGUUUCUUCAGCAUGGCGCGGUGGGAAUGAAGAUGCCGAGAGCUCUUGGACCACCGGUUCUUUCAUUGUUGCAGUAGAGCGGUCCCUGCAUGGUUGUCGAUCCUAGAUCCAGAUCUAU